AUACGGAGGGUGCAAGCGUUAUCCGGAUUUAUUGGGUUUAAAGGGUGCGUAGGCGGUUUGAUAAGUCAGCGGUGAAAUAUUUCAGCUUAACUGGAAGGGGGCCGUUGAUACUGUCGAGCUUGAAUUUAGUUGCUGUGGGUGGAAUGUGUGGUGUAGCGGUGAAAUGCAUAGAUAUCACACAGAAUAUCGAUUGCGAAGGCAGCUCACAAAGCUAAUAUUGACGCUGAUGCACGAAAGUGUGGGGAUCAAACAGGAUUAGAUACCCUGGUAGUCCACACUGUAAACGAUGAUAACUCGCUGUCGGCGAUACAUAGUCGGUGGCCAAGCGAAAGCGAUAAGUUAUCCACCUGGGGAGUACGACCGCAAGGUUGAAACUCAAAUGAAUUGACGGGG
rnacentral:rRNA from 1 species